rnacentral:sRNA from 1 species
AUGGAUUUACUUAUUCUGGUCAUCCAGUUUCGUGUGCUGUAGCAAUUGAAGCG